CAGCAGCCGCGGUAAUACCGGCGGCCCGAGUGGCGGCCACUAUUAUUGGGCUUAAAGCGUCCGUAGCCGGGUUGGUUAGUCUCCCGGGAAAUCUGGCCGCUUAACGGUCAGAAUUCCGGGAGAUACUGCCAGCCUAGGGACCGGGAGAGGCCGAGGGUAUUCCCGGAGUAGGGGUGAAAUCCUAUAAUCCCGGGAGGACCACCGGUGGCGAAGGCGCUCGGCUGGAACGGGUCCGACGGUGAGGGACGAAGGCCAGGGGAGCAAACCGGAUUAGAUACCCGGGUAGUCCUGGCUGUAAACGAUGCGGACUUUGUGUCGGACAAGCUAUGAGCUUGUCCGGUGCCGGAGGGAAACCGUUAAGUCCGCCGCCUGGGGAGUACGGCCGCAAGGCUGAAACUUAAAGGAAUUGGCGGG
rnacentral:rRNA from 1 species